UACGUAGGGGGCAAGCGUUGUCCGGAAUCAUUGGGCGUAAAGAGCGUGUAGGCGGCCCGAUAAGUCCGCUGUGAAAGUCCAGGGCUCAACCCUGGGAUGCCGGUGGAUACUGUCGGGCUCGAGUCCGGAAGAGGAGUGUGGAAUUCCCGGUGUAGCGGUGAAAUGCGCAGAUAUCAGGAGGAACACCGGUGGCGAAGGCGGGUCUCUGGGCCGAUACUGACGCUGAGGAGCGAAAGCGUGGGGAGCGAACAGG
rnacentral:rRNA from 1 species